AACGAACGCUGGCGGCAGGCUUAACACAUGCAAGUCGAACGGGCGCAGCAAUGCGUCAGUGGCAGACGGGUGAGUAACACGUGGGAACCUUCCUUAAGGUACGGGACAACUCAGGGAAACUUGAGCUAAUACCGUAUACGUCCGUGAGGAGAAAGAUUUAUCGCCUUUAGACGGGCCCNCGUCGGAUUAGCUAGUUGGUGAGGUAACGGCUCACCAAGGCUGAGAUGGUUAGCUGG
rnacentral:rRNA from 1 species